rnacentral:lncRNA from 1 species
UUAAAAAUUAAAAUGGAGAAAUGGGUAGGGGAUGAAGAUUCUACCUCAUCCCCGUCCCCUCCUCGAAUAAGAAAUUGGGUAAAAAAAUUUCCCCGUCCCUUCCCCGAAUAAGAAAUUGAGUAUGAAAUUAUCCCCAUACCCUCUUCGAAUGGGGAAAAUCUCCGAGGGUACCCGUCCCCAUGGGAAUUUUUGCCAUCCCUAUCAACCUCAUUACUUAGGAUUUGGAUGAAUUUACAAUUUUUAUUGAUAUCUCCAUCCCACUUUCAGCUCAACUUCGAAUAGUUUGUUUCUGGAACCUUCUGCCCCCCUGUAACAUGUUUCCCAUAGAGCCCCGCAAGUCCGUGAUAGGUGCUUCAAUUAUUUUUAAUUAGUGUUUGAAUAAGGCUAUUAGUAGUGUAGUUGAAUUAGUUGGUGUAGAUAGAUAGUAAAGUAUCAAUCCAAUUCCUGAUUUGGAGGGAGUGCUUCCAUUAUUUCCUGUUACUGUUUUAGUUGGUUGUUGAUGUUGGCUAGCUUAAGGACUAGUUUGAGAUUGUAGUGUUAGAUGAAGUAAGUUGUUUGUGAUGAAAUAAGUUGUUAUUGAAAAAGUAGUUUAGUGUUUGGUGAAUUAUAUUAUUGUGGUUGUUGUGAAAUUAAAAAAUAGAGUACAUAUAUUUGGUAAAUUUUCUUAUAAAAGUACUAUUUUGUUACAUAAUGGUGAAAACAUAUAUAAGUUUAAAUUACUUUCAGGAUUUAUUAAAAAAAAAAAGAUAUUGUUGUCCUUUUAUUAAAAUAUUAAUGUUAUAACAGGAACUUUAAAAAAAGU